CCCGGCCCCCCCAGCGCCCCGGCACCGCCGCCCGGCUCGCUGCUCCCGGCCCGCGGGCCGCCCCCGUCGCCCGUGGCCCGGCGCGCUGGUGCCGCUCGGCCGCCGCCAGCGCUCUGCGCCUCAAAAUGGCGGCUGCGAGAGUGCUGUCUGGAGUAAGCCCCCAAGCGUGAGCACACCUCAGCUCAUCCACCAGCACCAGCUCGUCCUGCGGGGAGAGCAUCGGCAGCAAAUGGGUGAAUGCAGGUCCCUCUCCUGGAGAGCUGUAAGGUUGACUCCAAUAGGGAAGAUGAAAGGCAAAAACGUUAAGGAGGAACCAAGAUACUAAAAAGCGUGUAACAGCAUCACAGUGUGACAAUGGAUGGUUUCUGCAUACCCUGUUCCCACAAAGCACCUGGCACGUAGGAUACAACCACACAGACACAGCUUGGUCUCCACUGCUGGCCUGAGGUUCUGCUCUCCUUCACUUGAUGGCUGUAUGAGAGGACCAGCUCUAUCCUUCCCUCCAAGCUGGCACUAGCAGGGAGCUACCAACCAUCAAGCAGCAGCUGCCAUGGAUGCCUGCUUUCUAGAAAUCCUGCCAAAAGAUAAAGAAAAGCUCUACCUCAGCACAAGGUUUUUCAAAGGUGAACGCAGUGAUGCAGGAAGGGGAACCUCCUCAAAGCUGAUGAAUUCAUCUCGAGUUUGCAAAGCCAGUUUUGAUGUUAGAGUCAGGCUUUGAAAGGGCCAUCUCUCUUCUGGCCCCUGGAGAGAAGAAAGUUUGAUUGUUUCGGCCACAGGCAAUGGCACCAAUAUAAACAGUGUGUACAACGACAAAUGCUCUGUAUCUUAGCACAUUCAUACUUCAGGAGUCACCAACAGGGAUUUAAACACAUCUGAGUGCUCAGUAGGCACUGGAAAGGACAGAAGAUUGUGUUUAAACAAACAUUUGCAGUCUUGCUGUAACAAGAAUCACUGACAAUUAAAAAAAGUUAGCUUGCAAGUAGCCUGGUACUAGUUAUUGUAUGCAAGCCCCCUUUGUAUGUGAGGGUCCUAGCCCGCCAAAUGUUGUUUUAUGUGAAAUGAGUGAAUGCUACCAACCAGUGCAUAUGCUGCUCUGUGUGCCACCGUCCCAAGUCAAUCGUGGUCCAUCUUUGCAGACGCUAAAAAUAGUGCAUGUUGAGAUUUGCAAACUUAAAGCAGUAAAUAAAAGCUCUCAGUCUGGAGCUCUUGUAAUUAAAAGGUGACUUUUGGUGUAUCCCUGCUGGGGAAGCUAGCCAGGGGGGAGGGCAGCUGUUUGCCCAAAAAGUGUGAGCUGAGAUGGGUGGGGGAUGUCUGCUUAACAGCCCGCAUUCCUGGGCUCUGCCAGCUCCCUUUAUCUUCCGAUCUUAAUGUUGAGAACAAACAACCAUUUGUACUUGAAGCAGGCUGGCUGAUGAGACAGGCAUUUCAGGUGUACAAGUCCUACGGUGCUGCCAAUUUGUAAUUACCGCACCAGGCAUUUCGCAAUAUUUUGCGUUUUUUUUUUUUUUUUUUCCAAAGCUGCAAUCUCAUCAAUUUGUGAGAAUUUCAGCCCAGAUUUCACAUGAUUAUUGUUAUUUUUUUCUAACAUGCAGCUUGCUGUUUCACAGGAGGUGAAAGUGAUUUCAGAAGACCUGUGAUUUUAGAAGCAUUGCUCUUGUACUAACCAUUAUGGACUGAGGCAGGGAAUUGCUCUCCAGAUGACCCCCACCAGCCUGAAGAGCAACUUCCCUCAAAUUCCUCCCUGGGAAGUUCAGGGAUGAAGUGGACACACACGAUGUGGUAUCACUGGAUCACAGCAUCACAGCGGGGCUGAGGCCCCCCGGGCCUGUCUGCUCCCCCUUGCACCAGCAGGGCCACCCCGAGCAGGGGGCCCAGGCCCAUGUCCAGGUGACUUUGGGAGACCUGCGAGGAGACUCCACAGCCUCUGUGGGCAGCCUGGGUCAGGGCUCAGUCAUCCUCACAGGAAAGAAGUGUUCCCUGAACAACAUAAAGUUUGGAAAGCAGGAAGAGAAGAAGAAAUGUACUGCUCCACUUGCAGAAGUGCUGUGUACAGCAGCCACUUUGCACAAGAGCAGCUGGUCGUAAGGUUUAGUCCAGCAACAGGCCCCUCAGUAUUUCUUUGGAUUUUCAUGUUGCCUUUACUGGCCUUUCUCAGGAGGUGUUUCUGGGUAUGUGUGCGCUCUCCACACCAGCUGAAAUGGACAUGAGGUGGUCACACAUCCCCUGUGAUCAGUGGGUGCCCUCAGGGUGGCUGUGCCAAGGUGGGGCUCCAGCCCCUCCAGGCCUGCGGCAGCAGCACCAGGCCUGCUCCGGGCCUCCUUGAAGCGGCAGAAUCCUCCAGAGCAAAAGAAGUUAAUCACAGUCACAGCUAUUUUUUUAUUUCGUCCACUUCCAGGGCAAAUACUACAGUAUGAGGUGUUAUUUUCCUCACUGCAGCAUUGAAAUGCCCAGCUGCCAGAGAAGAUGUUGGGAAAAACUUCGGUAUUUUGCCACAACCUCACAGAAUUGGCACUGCCAGCACUUCUUUCGGAUACAAACAGGUCAGAGUACUGACCAACAUAGUAUUGGAAACAAAGAGAUGUGUAGAAGCUGCAGUUCAAAACAAGAUAUUGAAAAAACGUGUUGCUAGAACUUGUACAAAAAAUUUGUUCAUAUCUGCAAGUGUCAGAGGAUACAGAAACUCUCCUCUUCUGCAACAAAAUUGGCAUCAGGUAGGGACAUUUUCCUGUAUGCUGUGCAUGGCUGUGCCUCACAGGACACAGGUACUAAUGAGGCUGACCAAAAGCUAAGAUUUACAUGAAAAUGCCAUCAAGUGCAUAAGUAAAAGUUGGGUAGAAAGCCCACUUUUAUGGUCCACCUUGACACAUUUAUAACAAUGCUGAGAAACUGCCUACUUGUCAGGGUACCUAGAGGGUACAAAUUUUAUCAUGGUUUCUCAGAAAGAGGUCUGAGCUUUAGCUGUAGGAAGGGAAUAUGGAGCUUAAAUGGCAUGAGAUGAGAGGCGGAUAAGCAAAGAUUCCCCAUGGUGUCUCCUCCAGCCAAGGGGCGAAGGCAGGGGCACUGAGCUGAGAGAGGCUGCAGGUGCCUUUGGAAGGCUGCAGCUUCCAGACACUGAGGCCAAGUGAUGCAAGCAUCCCGGCCAUUCACUCCUAUGUCUUUCAUUAUUAAUAAUAAUUUAUACUGUGCUCAGAAGUGUGUUAGAUAUGAAGACAUAACAAGUACAGGAUGCAUAAAGCUGUUUCUAUAGUGAGUACAAUUCCUUCCCAGUCAUCUAAUG